AUACUACUCCCUCUGUCCGAAAUUAUUUGUCGCACAAAUGGAUAAAAAUGGAUGUAUCUAAAACUAAAAUACAUUUAAAUACAUCCAUUCCAAUGACAAAUAUUUUCAAACGGAUGGAGAACUAU
rfam:Hordeum vulgare subsp. vulgare, WGS project CAJW01000000 data, contig: morex_contig_1568112